rnacentral:rRNA from 1 species
AUUGAACGCUGGCGGCAGGCCUAACACAUGCAAGUCGAACGAGUGGCGGACGGGUGAGUAAUGUCUGGGAAACUGCCUGAUGGGGGGGGAUAACCACUGGAAAAGGUCGCUAAUAACGCAAACCCUCAGAUGUGACCAGAGGGGAUUAGCUUGUUGGGGGGGUAACGGCUCACUAAGGCGACGAUCCCUAGCUGGUCUGAGAGGAUGACCAGCCACACUGGAACUGGGACACGGUCCAGACUCCUACGGGAGGCAGAAUUGGGGAAUAUUGGACAAUGGGCGUAAGCCUGAUGCAGCCAUGCCGCGGGUAUGAAGAAGGCCUUCGGUUUGUAAAGUACUUUCAGCGGGGAGGCGGUACCCGCAGAAGAAGCACCGGCUAACUCCGUGCCAGCAGCCGCGGUAAUAC